AUAAAGUUUUAUUCUAGCUUAAAGUAUAAGUUUUUAAUUUGUUUAUAUAUAAAUUUUUGUGAUUUACAAAAUUAAUUUAAAAAAUUAAUUUUAAAAAUAAUAUUGGUAGUAAAAAAUUUUAAAUUCUGAGUAAUUUUAGGUUUAGAAAUUUAUUUUAGUAUUAACAUAAUUUGUGCCAGCAGUUGCGGUUACACAAAUAAUACAAUUUAUAAAUUUUGAUUUAUAGAAAUUUAUUUUUAUUAAAAAUAAUUAGUUUAAUUUAUUAGGUGAAAUUUUAAAUUAUUAUAAGUUUUUGUGUAAUAAAUAAUUCUAUUAAAUUUUAUAAAAAACUAGGAUUAGAUACCCUAUUAUAAAAAAUUAAAUUUAAAUUAAUUAUUAAUAGUUAUGUUCUUUAAAAUUAAAGAUUUUGGCGGUAUUUUAAUCUUUUCAGAGGAACCUGUUCUAUAAUUGAUAUUCCACAAUAAUAUAAACUUAAUUUAGAAAUUUGUAUAUCGUCGUUUAAAAUAUUUUAUUAGAAAUUAAAUGUUUAUAAUUUUUUAUAAAAAAUAUAUUUCAGAUCAAGGUGCAGUUUAUAAUUAAGAAGUAAUGGGUUACAUUAAAAUUAUUUUUGGAAAAAAAAAUUAAUUUUUUUUAAAAAUUGGAUUUGAAUGUAAUUAAAUAAAUUUUUAUUUAAUGAAUUUAGCUCUAAAAUAUGUACAUAUCGCCCGUCACUUUCGAUUAAAUUGAAAUAAGUCGUAACAAAGUAGAUGUACUGGAAAGUGUAUCUAGUAAGAA
rnacentral:ncRNA from 1 species